rnacentral:tRNA from 1 species
AGAAAUGUACAGAGUUUUCAUCUAUAAUUUUAUCUUGACAAGAUAAUGUAAAAUUUUACUAACAUUUC